GGGAAUAUUGGACAAUGGGCGAAAGCCUGAUCCAGCCAUGCCGCGUGAGUGAAGAAGGCCUUAGGGUUGUAAAGCUCUUUUGGCGGGGAAGAUAAUGCCGGUACCCGCAGAAAAAGCACCGGUUAACUUCGUGCCAGCAGCCGCGGUAAUACGAAGGGUGCUAGCGUUGUUCGGAAUUACUGGGCGUAAAGCGCGCGCAGGCGGUUUGUCAAGUCAGAUGUGAAAUCCCGGGGCUUAACCUCGGAAUUGCAUUUGAAACUGGCUCACUAGAGAUAGGUAGAGGAGAGUGGAAUUCCCAGUGUAGAGGUGAAACUCGUAGAUAUAGGGAGGAACACCGGAGGCGAAGGCGGCUCUCUGGACCUAUUCUGACGCUGAGGCGCGAAAGCGUGGGGAGCAAAC
rnacentral:rRNA from 1 species